GAGACUAUUAUGGGAAUAAAAGAAUGGAGUUAGCAGGUGGCCUCGUGUCCCUUUUGUUUGAAGACUUGUUCAAGAGAUUUAACGCAGAAUUGAAAAAAUUGCAGAUCUUACAAUUCCCAAACCUCGGGCUGCUCAAUUUGAUAUCGUUCGUCAUAUGAGACAAGAUCCUAUCACCAAUGGCCUUGUUAUUGCAAUAUCAACUGGCAAAUGGGUGGUGAAGAGAUUUAAAAUGGAGAGAAAAGGUGUCACACAGGUUUUGACAAGAUUAUCGUACAUAUCCGCUCUUGGAAUGAUGACAAGAAUUUCAUCGCAGUUU